CCUGAGAGACAAGAAACAUCGUUCCCAGCGCUGGGACCGGCGAGCACACCGAGCACAUUUAACCCCGAACCCGGAGCUGAGGCCUGCCUCUCUCGGGAGCGCCGGGGAGUGCCGGACGGGGACGUGGUGAGGACACACGCACCCGCAGGCCGGGAGCAGAAGCCCCCGCGUGCCUGCCGCCCAGGCCCUCCGGAAAGGCGAACUGGCUGCUCGCGGCUCACUCUGACCUUCGCAAAGGAGCCGGCUGCAGUGCCAACGUGUGAGGCACGGCUGCCCUGAGUCAGGCUGCGCUUUCGUCCACCUGGGAGAAAAAGUCUCUCUUCCUUGUGUUUUUUUUCUGUUUGUUUCCUCCUGAACCUUUCCUAGUGGAUUUUCUAAGCCCUUCCUUUCCACAACACAGCGUUUAGUGACUGCAGUCGGGCUCGGUUAAGUUCCCUUCGUAAGCGGAGAAACAAUCAGAUUUGUAAGAAAUAAGAAGCGUCAAGUAACAGAGAGGGUUCCCCUCGCUCGAAGACACACCUGAACUGGACUUUCAGAGGCGGGGACCCUCCCCUCAGGGACCUAAUCUGGCGUCCGCACUAACCAGGGACAAAGCACCUGCUGUGCGGUUAAGGCCUUUAGAACGACCGAGUCACGGCACACAGCGGCCGGUGGGACAAAAAAAAGCGUGUGGACCCCUGCUGAUCCAAAACUGUGAU